rnacentral:rRNA from 1 species
ACAGCGAAACUGCGAAUGGCUCAUUAUAUAAGUUCUCUAUAUAUAUUUGAUAGUGCCUUACUACUUGGAUAACCGUGCUAAUUCUAGAGCUAAUACAUGCUAAAAACCCCGACUUCGGAAGGGGUGUAUUUAUUAGAUACAAAACCAAUGCCCUUCGGGGCUCUUUGGUGAUUCAUGAUAACUAUACGAAUCGCACGGCCUUGCGCCGGCGAUGGUUCAUUCAAAUUUCUUCCCUAUCAACUUUCGAUGUUUGGGUAUUGGCCAAACAUGGUUGCAACGGGUAACGGAGGGUUAGGGCUCGACCCCGGAGAAGGAGCCUGAGAAACGGCUACUACAUCCAAGGAAGGCAGCAGGCGCGCAAAUUACCCAAUCCCGACUCGGGGAGGUAGUGACAAUAAAUACUGAUACAGGGCCCUUUCGGGCCUUGUAAUUGGAAUGAGUACAAUUUAAAUCCCUUAACGAGGAACAAUUGGAGGGCAAGUCUGGUGCCAGCAGCCGCGGUAAUUCCAGCUCCAAUAGCGUAUAU